rnacentral:rRNA from 1 species
GUGGGGAAUAUUGCACAAUGGGCGAAAGCCUGAUGCAGCGACGCCGCGUGAGCGAUGAAGUAUUUCGGUAUGUAAAGCUCUAUCAGCAGGGAAGAUAAUGACGGUACCUGACUAAGAAGCACCGGCUAAAUACGUGCCAGCAGCCGCGGUAAUACGUAUGGUGCAAGCGUUAUCCGGAUUUACUGGGUGUAAAGGGAGUGUAGGCGGUGACUUAAGUCUGAUGUGAAAACCCAAGGCUCAACCAUGGGAUUGCAUUGGAAACUGAGUGACUAGAGUGUCGGAGAGGUAAGUGGAAUUCCUAGUGUAGCGGUGAAAUGCGUAGAUAUUAGGAGGAACACCAGUGGCGAAGGCGGCUUACUGGACGAUUACUGACGCUGAGGCUCGAAAGCGUGGGGAGCAAACAGG